rnacentral:rRNA from 1 species
UACUCCUACGGGAGGCAGCAGUGGGGAAUAUUGCGCAAUGGCCUAACGGCUGACGCAGCGACGCCGCGUGAGGGAUGACGCUCUUCGGAGUGUAAACCUCUUUUGCCCGGGACGAAUUGCCAACUUCAGUUGGCUUGACGGUACCGGGUGAAUAAGCACCGGCUAACUCCGUGCCAGCAGCCGCGGUAAU